rfam:Cathartes aura contig64123, whole genome shotgun sequence.
ACAAAGGUUGUUUUAAAAACCACAAGAAGUUACCUAAGUAUAUUCU